rnacentral:lncRNA from 1 species
GUUGACAUGGGGCAAGUGCUCUGGUAGGUACAGAGCUGCCAUUAAAUGACCCCAGCAUGGCAAUUGGUGAUGCUGGCUUUGCACACUGUGCAUGUCCUUGUUACUGAGACAGGCUGUGUAAGUGAGGGGUGGGAUACCGUUUAUAUAGUUUGAACACCAAAGGGAGGAAAAGAGAGCAGAAGUGAUCCAAAUAAGCAACAUCCAGCACAUGUUUGAAAGGCAAUGGUUUCACAUCUUACCUUGAGCCAUGAGCCCUGAGAAGCUCUCAGCAGCUCCUUUUUGCCUACAUGAGUAGAGAAUAUCUGAACCAUCAGUUUAAAAAUCAACCACAGCAGCAGAGUGCUGUCCACUUCCCAUGCUGGGAAUGUCCUGUGGGACUUAACUGAACUUCAUGUUUGUUUGAACAGCAUUUAGAAAAGAUAAAGAAGGAACUACAAAAUCUAGAGAUAUUAACACCAGGUGAUUCACCUUUGCUGACUUCAGCCACCUAAAAUUUUGCAGUCUGACUUCCUAGGAUGUAUCUGCCCACCUAGAUAAAAGAGAGCCAGGACUGCAUUUGAGCUCUGAAGCCAUGGCUGCCUGCUGACCUGGAGCACUGUCUCUGAUCUGGACCAUUCCAGAAUUGUUUUA